UGGAAACACCCGAAGAGUUAACCAACUUGCCCAAGAACUCAACUUCCUGCUGGAAUAGAAAGCAUUUUUGGGGCUUAAGUUUAAGAUUACGCAGACGAAUCCGCUGAAAGACAUGUUCCAAAUUUUCCAAGAUGUAUACUGGCCAAAACAAUGAGAACUCAAAAUGGUAACCAUUGCUGCGGUGUCCACUACUGCCUCUGUAUCCUUUUCAAACACAUUGAAUGGAAUAACCAAAGAUAUUCCUGGAGAUUCAAGCAAUGCAAUGGGGAAGGGUCAGUAAAAUCUUGUGCGGGGUCAUUCGGGACAGUUAGGACUGGAUCUUUGACCCAAAGCUUAGUCCUUUGGAGUUUAAAGAUGGAUUAGGUUUUGAGUCUGCAGGCAAAGGCGAUGCAGCUUCUGGGUGACUUUCAUUUGAGUUAGCUGCAUCUGGAGAAUUACGCCUUGGCCAAACGCGAUUACCCUGCGGAUAAGAUCUCUGAGGACUAUAAGGCCAAAAAUCGCGUGGGGAGGGAGAACGAGCGCGAGCAUUAUUUUGCUGAAGUAAUGUUUGGAUGUUUAAAAUGGCUUCUUUAAUGAUGGUCAUAUCCCCCUGUUGCGAAAAAGCUGUACGGAUGUCAAAGUCUGACUCCUCGAAGGCUACUUGACGGUGUGCAUAGGAGACAGUUUUCUGCCCAAAAUAGCCUUCAAGUUGGCCAGAGAAGCCUUCAUGUACUUUACGGCCUUUGGGAACUUCUCCAUGGUGGUUUUUGUAGCUUCUUUUUCCUUACAGUCACAAAUAAAUGCUUUAACAGCUAUCUGAUUAAUGGUAUCUCUGUUUGUCAUGUAGUAGCCAUCCAAGGUAAAUUUUCUACCCUUUGAGCAAACCCUUCGAGAGUCUCUGAGUCAGUUUGCCUAAUGGACUGAAGCUCCCCACGGAAAGUUACCGGGGCCUCCCGACUGGAGAACCUACGCCUCAUGUCCUUGACCAGAGUCCGGUAUUUCCGGAUACCAAGACGAUUAGCAUAUUCAAGAGCAGUUCCUCUGAGACAUAUUGUCGAACAUUUUGCGGCUAGACCAUUAACGAUGGCAUAUACGCUCAAAUUGGGCAUAGAAUGCUUCCCAAGAGGUCUUAUCGUCACCUGAGAACAGAAGCAUUUUAGGCGGAUUAGGGCUUCUCCCUCGAUGGUGGCGGUGCUGUUCUUCUUGUUCUAUUUCAGAAUCAGAGUCCGAAGAUGACCAGUCCCGAAAAGAUCUAUUCUUUGAAAAUGGGUAGGAUUCCUCACUAGAACUAGUGGAACGGUGUCGGUGUCUGGACCGCCUAGACUCAUGGUCUUUGGAAGCUGUGAAGCAUCGUCGAGGGUCUGUGAUUACGGGAGUGGAUGUAGACGGCAAGGGAGCUGCAAGAGCUUGAACCCCCACACCGCCAACAGCUCCAUAAUCCUGCAAGGAAGAACGCGGUGGUGUACGACAAUAGUCCCGGAAUUCAUUAUGCAGAUCAGUGGCCAUCUGUCUUACUACGUCCUGAAAUUUAAUAAAACUAUUUUCAA